UACAGAGGUCCCGAGCGUUGUUCGGAUUCAUUGGGCGUAAAGGGUGCGUAGGCGGCGGGGUAAGUUUGAUGUGAAAUUCCGGGGCUCAACCCUGGCAUGGCAUUGAAUACUACCUUGCUAGAGUACCGGAGAGGAAACUGGAAUUUACGGUGUAGCAGUGAAAUGCGUAGAGAUCGUAAGGAAGACCAGUGGCGAAGGCGAGUUUCUGGGCCGAUAUUGACGCUGAGGAGCGAAAGCGUGGGGAGCGAACAGG
rnacentral:rRNA from 1 species